UGCUACCUAGUGGUAUCCUGAGUAAGGCGGGACACGUGAGAUCCUGUCUGAAUCCGGCGGAACCAUCCGCCAAGGCUAAAUACUGCUGAGAGACCGAUAGCGAACCAGUACUGCGAAGGAAAGGUGAAAAGCACCUCGAACAGAGGAGUGAAAUAGAACCUGAAACCGUGCGCCUACAAGCGGUCGGAGUCCCUUCGGGGAUGACGGCGUGCCUUUUGCAUAAUGAGCCUACGAGUUGCUCGUCACUGGCAAGGUUAAGGGCUUCAAGCCCGCAGCCGAAGCGAAAGCAAGUCUUAACAGGGCGCAUAGUCAGUGGCGGCAGACGCGAAACCUGAGUGAUCUAACCAUGGCCAGGAUGAAGUCCCGGUAACACGGGAUGGAGGUCCGAACUGGUAGACGUUGAAAAGUCUUCGGAUGAGCUGUGGUUAGGGGUGAAAGGCUUAUCAAACUGGGAGAUAGCUCGUACUCUCCGAAAUGCAUUUAGGUGCAGCCUCGGACGUACAGUCAUGGAGGUAGAGCUACUGAUCGGGCUAGGGGGUCGCGAGAUCUACCAAACCCGGACAAACUCCGAAUGCCAUGACUUCAAUAUCCGGGAGUGAGCGCGCGGGUGCUAAGGUCCGUGCGCGAAAGGGAAAUAACCCAGACCAUCGGCUAAGGUCCCCAAGUACACACUAAGUUGAUCUAACGAGGUCGGACUGCAUUGACAGCUAGGAUGUUGGCUUGGAAGCAGCCAUUCAUUUAAAGAGUGCGUAACAGCUCACUAGUCGAGCGGUCCGGCAUGGAUAAUAAUCGGGCAUAAGCAUAUUACCGAAGCUAUGGAUUUGUACAAUAGUACAUCUGGUAGGGGAGCAUUCUAUUUGCGCCGAAGCAGUAUCGCGAGGUAUUGUGGAGCGGAUAGAAAAGAAAAUGUAGGCAUAAGUAACGAUAAAGGGGGCGAGAAACCCCCUCACCGAAAGACUAAGGUUUCCUCAGCCAUGCUAAUCAGCUGAGGGUUAGUCGGGGCCUAACGCGAACCCGAAAGGGGUAGUGGAUGGACAACGGGUUAAUAUUCCCGUACCUGUAUAAUAAUAAAGUGACGGAGUUGGAAAUUAGGUGCGUACUGACGGAAUAGUACGUUGAAGUAACUGCGAGGUUACGAUAGUACAGCAAGUCUUCGGAUGCGCUGAUAAUCCUAAGGACCCGCUUCCAAGAAAAGCGAUUUAUACAGCCCGUACCAAAACCGACACAGGUAGUCGAGGAGAGAAUCCUAAGGUGCUCGAGUGAGUCGUGGCUAAGGAACUAGGCAAAAUAGUCUCGUAACUUCGGAAGAAGAGACGCCAGCAGUAAUGCUGGCCGCAGUGAAGAGGCCCAGGCGACUGUUUAUCAAAAACACAGGACUCUGCUAAAUCGAAAGAUGCUGUAUAGGGUCUGACACCUGCCCGGUGCUGGAAGGUUAAGGAAGGUGCUUAGAAGUAAUUCGAAGGCAUUGACUGAAGCCCCAGUAAACGGCGGCCGUAACUAUAACGGUCCUAAGGUAGCGAAAUUCCUUGUCGGGUAAGUUCCGACCUGCACGAAUGGUGUAACGAUCUGGGCACUGUCUCAGCCACGAGCUCGGUGAAAUUGUAGUAUCGGUGAAGAUGCCGAUUACCCGCAAUGGGACGAAAAGACCCUGUGAACCUUUACUAUAACUUCGUAUUGACUCUGAGUAAAUAAUGUGUAGGAUAGGUGGGAGGCUUUGAAGCCGGGACGCCAGUCUCGGUGGAGCCGA
rnacentral:rRNA from 1 species